rnacentral:rRNA from 1 species
UCUGGCGACCAUAGUGCGGUAGUUCUACCUGACUCCAUUCCGAACUCAGAAGUAAAAUGCCGUAAUGCCGAUGGUAGUGUGGGG